rnacentral:rRNA from 1 species
UACGUAGGGCGCAAGCGUUAAUCGGAAUUACUGGGCGUAAAGCGUGCGCAGGCGGUUUUGUAAGUCUGUCGUGAAAGCCCCGGGCUCAACCUGGGAAUUGCGUUGGAGACUGCAAGGCUAGAAUCUGGCAGAGGGGGGUAGAAUUCCACGUGUAGCAGUGAAAUGCGUAGAGAUGUGGAGGAACACCGAUGGCGAAGGCAGCCCCCUGGGUCAAGAUUGACGCUCAUGCACGAAAGCGUGGGGAGCAAACAGG